rnacentral:rRNA from 1 species
AACGAACGCUGGCGGCAUGCCUAACACAUGCAAGUCGAACGCCAUGGUUUCGGCCAUGGAGUGGCGCACGGGUGAGUAACGCGUGGGAACCUGCCCAGCAGUAUGGGACAACCGCGGGAAACUGCGGCUAAUACCGUAUACGCCCGUCUUUGGGAGACCAGGGGCGGGGAAAGAUUGAUCGCUGUUGGAGGGGCCCGCGUCGGAUUAGGUAGUUGGUGGGGUAAAGGCCUACCAAGCCUGCGAUCCGUAGCUGGUCUGAGAGGAUGGUCAGCCACACUGGGACCGAUACACGUCCCAGACUCCUACGGGAGGCAGCAGUGGGGAAUAUUGGACAAUGGGCGCAAGCCUGAUCCAGCAAUGCCGCGUGAGUGAUGAAGGCCUUAGGGUUGUAAAGCUCUCUCACACGCGACGAUGAUGACGGUAGCGUGAGAAGAAGCCCCGGCUAACUCCGUGCCAGCCGCCGCGGUAAAAC